rnacentral:lncRNA from 1 species
CAAAUUCAAUUAUUCUGAUUAGCGGAUUGUACCUGUUUUUCCAUGCAACCUCUGAUCAAUUAUAUUUUUUAUUUUUUUUAUUUAAUAUGUUAAUUUUCGAAAAUAUUAAUCAGCAAUUUGGUUAUUUAAUGAUGUCACAUAAAAAUGGCUUACCAUGCAGAGCCUUGUCGAUCUCGUCGCAACAAAAUUAUUUCUCUCUAUUCUAUGAAGCCAAUUUUUCUUCUUUCUUCAUUCCUUUGGCCCGAUGGAAUGGCAAACAAUCGCGCUUUUGAUUUCCCUUUAUAUUCAACUGCACAACAGCCCGUUAUAUUGACAAAAAAUUGCAAUAAUUACACUUUGUUAACUAUAUAGAAUGCACUGACAUAUACACACACGGCUUUCUUUGCACAAAAAUGGCGGAAAGGCGAUCACGUGAUACAGAGCAGUCUAUGGGAGCGCUAGAUUGUCGGCAAAUGCACCGGAAAAGCGUGUCGCU